AUCUACUGCUGCUAAUCUAUCGCCGCUGCUAAGCUAUCUCUCACUGCUAAGCUAUCGCCGCUGCCAACCUAUCUAUUGCUGCAAGCUAUCCCUCACUGCUAAGCUAUCGCUGCCAACCUCUCUAUUGCUGCAAGCUAUCCCUCACUGCUAAGCUAUCGCUGCCAACCUCUCUAUUGCUGCAAGCUAUCCCUCACUGCUAAGCUAUCGCUGCCAACCUAUCUAUCACUGCCAAUUUAUCUACCACUGUCAAUCUAUCUAUUGCUGCUGUCAAUCUAUCUAUCACUGCUAAUCUAUCUAUCGCUGCUAAUCUAUUGCUGCUGCCAAUCUAUCCCUCACUGCUAAGCUAUCCCUUGCUGCUAAGCUAUCACUGUCAAUCUAUCACUGCUAAUCUAUUGCUGCCAAUCUAUCUACUGCAGUGAAUCUAUCUAUCACUGCCAAUUUAUCUACCACUGUCAAUCUAUCUAUCACUGUCAAUCUAUUGCUGCUAAUCUAUCACUGCUAAUCUAUCACUGCUAAUCUAUCACUGUCAAUCUAUCUACCAUGGCAAAUCUAUCUAUCACUAUCAUUACUAGUUCAAAAUAGAACUAGAGCAUAAAUACACUAAACUUCUUUUGAUAGAUAAUGAUUUUUGAUAAUGCUCAUAGCAUUAUAUCAUCUAUAUAGGGUAAAUCAUGAUCCCAUUUGGUCCCAUUUUGUUAAAAUGGGAUCAAAUGGGAUCAGAAUCAGUAAUUUAUAAGAAGAAC
rnacentral:sRNA from 1 species